CAUGAGUGGCGGACGGGUGAGUAACGCGUGGGCAACCUGGCCUGUACAGGGGGAUAACACUUAGAAAUAGGUGCUAAUACCGCAUAACGGGGGAAGCCGCAUGGCUUUUCCCUGAAAACUCCGGUGGUACAGGAUGGGCCCGCGUCUGAUUAGCCAGUUGGCAGGGUAACGGCCUACCAAAGCGACGAUCAGUAGCCGGCCUGAGAGGGCGGACGGCCACACUGGGACUGAGACACGGCCAGACUCCUACGGAAGGCAGCAG
rnacentral:rRNA from 1 species